UACGGAGGGUGCAAGCGUUAUCCGGAAUCACUGGGUUUAAAGGGUGCGUAGGCGGUUGAAUAAGUCAGAGGUGAAAGAUUAUCGCUUAACGAUAAAAUGUCCUUUGAUACUGUUCGACUAGAAUGAGGUUAAGGUAGGCGGAAUGUGACAUGUAGCGGUGAAAUGCAUAGAUAUGUCAUAGAACACCAAUUGCGAAGGCA
rnacentral:rRNA from 1 species